ACGGCCAUACCAUGCUGAAUAUACCGGUUCUCGUUAGAUCACCGAGAGCGGUCAGUACUUGGGUGGGUGACCACCUAGGAACACCGCGUGCCGUU